AGAGAGGGAGCGCGCCUUGGCUCGCUGGCCUUGGCUGCGGCUCCUCGGGAGAGCUGGGGCGCCCACGAGAGGAUCCCUCACCUGGGUCUCUCCUCAGGGAUGACAUCAUCCGUCCACCUCCUUGUCUUCAAGGACCACCUCCUCUCCAUGCCGAGCUGCUGCCAAGGGGCCUGCUGCCCAUCUACACCUCACGAGGGCACUAGGAGCACGGAUUCCUGGAUCCCACCAACAUACAAAGCAGCCACUCACAGACCCCCAGGACCAGGAUGGCAAAGGAUGAAGAGGACCGGAACUGACCUGCCAGCUGUCCCUCUUACCUAAAGACUUAAACCAAUGCCCUAGUGAGGGGGCAUUGGACAUUAAGCCCUGACUUUUGCUAUGCUCAUGCUUUGACUCUAUGAGUACUUUCCUAUAAGUCUUCGCUUGUGUUCACCUGCUAGCAAACUGGAGUGUUUCCCUCCCCAAGGGGGUGUCAGUCUUUGUCGACUGACUCUGUCAUCACCCUUAUGAUGUCCUGAAUGGAAGGAUCCCUUUGGGAAAUUCUCAGGAGGGGGACCUGGGCCAAGGGCUUGACCAGCAUCCUGCUGGCAACUCCAAGGCCCUGGGUGGGCUUCUGGAAUGAGCAUGCUACUGAAUCACCAAAGGCAUGCCCCACCUCUCUGGAGAUCUUCCUAUCCUUUUCUGGGGAAUGGGGUCAAUGGGAGCAACCUCCUAGGGUUGUUGUGAGAAUUAAAUGAGAUAAAAGAGGCCUCAGGCAGGAUCUGGCAUAGAGGAGGUGAUCAGCAAAUGUUUGUUGAAAAGGUUUGACAGGUCAGUCCCUUCCCACCCCUCUUGCUUGUCUUACUCGUCUUAUUUAUUCUCCAACAGCACUCCAGGCAGCCCUUGUCCACGGGCUCUCCUUGCAUCAGCCAAGCUUCUUGAAAGGCCUGUCUACACUUGCUGUCUUCCUUCCUCACCUCCAAUUUCCUCUUCAACCCACUGCUUCCUGACUCGCUCUACUCCGUGGAAGGGCACUCACAAAGGUUCCCAGUGCCCCCGACAAGCCCCUGCUGGUGUCUCCAUCUCCUGCCAAGCAUCCUGCAAUGCCGCCUCCUGUGGGCCUGGCCUCAGGGCUAUGGACAGACUCCUGUCCCAUCCCAGAGACCCCUCGUGAUCGUGCCCUGUAGUCACCCCACUCCACCAAAAAGCAAACUGCAGGCACGUGGGCCGCGGCCCAGCUGGGUCGGCUGAAGAACUGCGGAUGGAAGCUGUGGAAGAGGCCCUGAUGGGGCCCACCAUCCCGGACCCGAGUCUUCUUCCUGGAGGGCCUCUCGUCUCCUUCCUGUUUUGGGCGGAAGCCAUCACCUGGAUUCCUACGUGGGAAGGGACCUCGAAUGUGCGACCCCAGCCCCUCUCCAGCUCGAAAUCCCUCCACAGCCACGGGGACGCCCUGCACCUAUUCCCACGGGACAGGCUGGACCCAGAGACUCUGGACCCGGGGCCUCCCCUUGAGUAGAGACCCGCCCUCUGACUGAUGGACGCCGCUGACCUGGGGUCAGACCCGAGGGCUGGACCCCUGCCCACCCCGCAGGAACCCUGAGGCCUAGGGGAGCUGUUGAGCCUUCAGUGUCUGCAUGUGGGAAGUGGGCUCGUUCACCUACCUCACAGGGCUGUUGUGAGGGGCGCUGUGAUGCGGUUCCAAAGCACAGGGCUUGGCGCACCCCACUGUGCUCUCAAUAAAUGUGU
rnacentral:lncRNA from 1 species